GCCCAGCUGGCUCAGUCAAAAGAGUGUGUGACUCUUGACCGCGGGGUUGUGGGUUCGAGCCCCACGUUGGGUA
rnacentral:tRNA from 1 species